GAUGAACGCUGGCGGCGUGCCUAAUACAUGCAAGUCGAGCGAACAGACGAGGAGCUUGCUCCUCUGACGUUAGCGGCGGACGGGUGAGUAACACGUGGAUAACCUACCUAUAAGACUGGGAUAACUUCGGGAAACCGGAGCUAAUACCGGAUAACAUGUUGAACCGCAUGGUUCAACAGUGAAAGACGGUUUUGCUGUCACUUAUAGAUGGAUCCGCGUCGCAUUAGCUAGUUGGUAAGGUAACGGCUUACCAAGGCAACGAUGCGUAGCCGACCUGAGCGGGUGAUCGGCCACACUGGAACUGAGACACGGUCCAGACUCCUACGGGAGGCAGCAGUAGGGAAUCUUCCGCAAUGGGCGAAAGCCUGACGGAGCAACGCCGCGUGAGUGAAGAAGGUCUUCGGAUCGUAAAACUCUGUUAUUAGGGAAGAACAAAUGUGUAAGUAACUAUGCACGUCUUGACGGUACCUAAUCAGAAAGCCACGGCUAACUACGUG
rnacentral:rRNA from 1 species